CCUACGGGAGGCAGCGGUGGGGAAUAUUGGACAAUGGGCGAAAGCCUGAUCCAGCAAUGCCGCGUGAGUGAUGAAGGCCUUCGGGUCGUAAAGCUCUUUUACCAGGGAUGAUAAUGACAGUACCUGGAGAAUAAGCUCCGGCUAACUCCGUGCCAGCAGCCGCGGUAAUACGGAGGGAGCUAGCGUUGUUCGGAAUUACUGGGCGUAAAGAGUACGUAGGCGGUUAUUCAAGUCAGAGGUGAAAGCCCGGGGCUCAACCCCGGAACUGCCUUUGAAACUAGAUAACUAGAGUCUUGGAGAGGUUAGUGGAAUUCCGAGUGUAGAGGUGAAAUUCGUAGAUAUUCGGAAGAACACCAGUGGCGAAGGCGACUAACUGGACAAGUACUGACGCUGAGGUACGAAAGCGUGGGGAGCAAACAGGAUUAGAUACCCUGGUAGUCCACGCCGUAAACGAUGAUAACUAGUUGUUCGGUCACUUGGUGACUGAGUGACGCAGCUAACGCAUUAAGUUAUCCGCCUGGGGAUACGGUCGCAAGAUUAAAACUAAAGGAAUUGACGG
rnacentral:rRNA from 1 species